UUUCCUUUUUUUUUUUUUCUAAAGAUAGAAGUGCAUUAAAAGCCUAACCAGGCAACGAGGAAGAUAUUUGGGUUACAAAGCAAAAGACGAGUUAUGCAAAGAAUUAACCACCAAUGAAUGCGCCACAUUGUUUGCUUGUCUUGGGACGAAAGAGACGGCCUCAUCUAGGUUCUGAGCAAGGAGUUUUAUAUCUGCCACAAUACCCGCAAUUGAGGGGAUUUCAGAUCAUUAAUAACCAAAAGAGAUUCCCCUUCAAUGACGACCUUCCUCAGGUUUCUAGAUAUCGCAAAAGACACAGCUUCCCUGCAUGCCAGACCUUUGAACACAUGGGGAUCAGCACAAUUCCUAUAAACUUUCCCUUGCCAACCGAGAUCAAAACCCUCAUUAUCUCUUGCCAUGAGAGCUAAGGCUCCACGGCUCCUGGGAUUUAGAAACAGCAGCAUCGAAAUUUAUCUUCGUG
rnacentral:misc_RNA from 1 species